CUCUGCAACGCAGGUAAAUGGGAAGGAGGUAGAUUAGGUCAAGGGUUCAGAACUUCCUCUCUGUCUUUGUUUUCUCCCUCUGUGUGUGUGUGUGUGUGUGUGUGUGUGUGUCUCUACCUACCUAUCUGUGUGUGUGUGUGUGUGUGUGUGUCUCUGUCUCUACCUACCUAUCUGUGUGUGUGUGUGUGUCUCUACCUCCCUAUCUGUGUGUGUGUGUGUGUGUGUCUGUCUCUACCUCCCUAUCUGUGUGUGUGUGUGUGUGUGUGUGUCUGUCUCUACCUCCCUAUCUGUCUGUGUGUGUGUGUGUGUGUGUGUCUGUCUCUACCUCCCUAUCUGUGUGUGUGUGUGUGUGUGUCUCUACCUCCCUAUCUGUGUGUGUGUGUGUGUGUGUGUCUCUGUCUCUACCUCCCAAUCUGUGUGUGUGUGUGUCUGUCUCUACCUCCCUAUCUGUGUGUGUGUGUGUGUGUGUCUGUCUCUACCUCCCUAUCUGUGUGUGUGUGUGUGUGUGUCUGUCUCUACCUCCCUAUCUGUGUGUGUGUGUGUGUGUGUGUCUGUCUCUACCUCCCUAUCUGUGUGUGUGUGUGUGUGUGUCUCUACCUCCCUAUCUGUGUGUGUGUGUGUCUCUGUCUCUACCUCCCAAUCUGUGUGUGUGUGUGUCUGUCUCUACCUCCCUAUCUGUGUGUGUGUGUGUGUGUGUCUGUCUCUACCUCCCUAUCUGUGUGUGUGUGUCUGUCUCUACCUCCCUAUCUGUGUGUGUGUCUGUCUCUACCUCCCUAUCUGUGUGUGUGUGUGUGUGUGUGUGUGUCUGUCUCUACCUCCCUAUCUGUGUGUGUGUGUGUGUGUGUGUCUGUCUCUACCUCCCUAUCUGUGUGUGUGUGUGUGUGUGUUUUUUGUGUCUGUAUCUACCUGCCACUCUCUCUCCAUCAUAUUCAAAUGACAUUACUGGCACAACGUAACAAUGUACAUAACUCCCUCUUGCUGUUUAUGUCACCUGCCUUCUCCCUCUCUCUCUCUCUCUCUCUGUAUUUCUCUCUCUGUCUCUCUCUAUCUCUGUAUGUCUCUCUCUGUCUCUCUGUCUCUCUCUGUCUCUCUGUCUCUCUCUAUCUCUGUUUUUGUCCCUCUGUUUCUCUGUCUCUCGUUAUGACAACAGUGGGAGGGGCAGUUCUACCCCCCACCCUCUCAGCUGUCCGGUGA
rnacentral:lncRNA from 1 species